rnacentral:lncRNA from 1 species
CUCCCCUUCCUACCUGGCCCCCUUUCUCCCUUUCUCCCUCCCUCUCUCUCUCUCUCUCCUGCAGCUAUGAGUCUUCUGCCGAAAUCUUGCCCCACACCCCGCGGCUCACCCAUUUCCCCAACGUCUCCGGCUCUCCGUCAAGCUUGGCCGAUUCCAUGCAGCAGAGCCCGGCGUGUUCCCACAGGCGCCGCCAGCAGACUGCCAGCGUCAUGUAGCCCCGCCCCUUUUCCCUCCUCCCCUCCCCAAGGCAAAGGCCCUGCCCGCCUGGGAGACUCUGGCCAGCUACGAGGAGACCACGGCCCCGAAGGAAGGAAAAGAAGACCCCAAAGAAGAAAUGACAGAAACAGACCCCGAGAAGAAAGAGAACUAACGGCGAGCGACUGGCCAGGCUGGGCUUUCUCCUCCCCCACCCCUCCCAUUCCCUCCGACCCCCUCCCCUAUCGCAAACGGUUUUUUCAUUUUUUAUUUUCCAAGCCAACUGGAUGGCUUCACAGCCGUACGUGGGGUGCACUUAUGUCUCUGUGCGUCUGUCUGUCUGUGUCGGACUUGGGGGCAGCCCAGGGGUUUGGGGGGGGGGCGAUCCGUGGUUUGGAUCUCAGAUCUGCCUUCCUGGACCUGGAAUUCCCUCCCCCCAGGGGAAGAAACAGGCAGGUGUGUGUGUGUGUGUGUGUGUGCGCGCGUGUGGAGUUAAUGGUUCCUCCCUCCCUCCCCCCACCCCCCCACCCCCAAAAUCUUUUGACACCGGCCCACCUUCCUUUCUUCGUUGCCUUGGGGUUGGGGGAGGUAGAGGGAAGGGGGUCCUGGGUGCUGAUUUUUAAAUUUUGUAUGGUGGAUUUGCUUCUUCUCAUAUUAAAAGGGAGGAAAAAAAAAAAUGAAAGCCGGAAGAAGACCAGAUCCGGAGAAUCAUUGCUAACGAAUUAUCUUGUCAACUCAUUAAAAAUAUUUCUCUGGUCUUCUUAAGAGUUGCCAACCGAAAGGGAGAAAGGGGGAAGCUGUGCGGCAGCUUGGAAACCGAAAGCGCAUUCCAUAAAUGUUUUCAAAGAUAGUAUCUGGGUGACUGGAGUUUUUGCUGUGCUAAAUUCUAACUGGAGAGCAUGAUCGAUGCCUCUGGGCUAUGGAGGUGUCCCAUUGGAGAAUAGGAAUUACGAUACACCCAGGGGGGCUGGGGAAAAUCCCAGGGUCAAGGGUGACAGUGAAUGAUGUGCCUCGGAGUCGGCUACACCCAGGCAGUGCUGGACAUGUUAACUCCCAAUAAAUCCUUCGGAAGUGUUGGAAGUUUGGCUCGA